rnacentral:rRNA from 1 species
CGGGGGGAGCAAGCGUUGUUCGGAUUUACUGGGCGUAAAGGGCGUGUAGGCGGCCACCGCAAGUCGACUGUGAAAUCUCCGGGCUUAAGUCGGAAAGGUCAGCCGAUACUGCGGGGCUAGAGUGCAGAAGGGGCAACUGGAAUUCUCGGUGUAGCGGUGAAAUGCGUAGAUAUCGAGAGGAACACCUGCGGCGAAGGCGGGUUGCUGGGCUGACACUGACGCUGAAACGCGAAAGCUAGGGGAGCGAACGGGAUUAGAUACCCCGGUAGUCCUAGCCUUAAACGAUGAAUGCUUGGUGUCUGGGGUUUUAUAGUCCCCGGGUGCCGUCGCUAACGCUUUAAGCAUUCCGCCUGGGGAGUACGGUCGCAAGACUG